CUAUCAGGCGUCGAGCGGCGGACGGGUGAGUAAUACUUAGGAAUCUACCUAGUAGUGGGGGAUAGCUCGGGGAAACUCGAAUUAAUACCGCAUACGACCUACGGGAGAAAGGGGGCAACUUGUUGCUCUCGCUAUUAGAUGAGCCUAAGUCGGAUUAGCUAGAUGGUGGGGUAAAGGCCUACCAUGGCGACGAUCUGUAGCUGGUCUGAGAGGAUGAUCAGCCACACCGGGACUGAGACACGGCCCGGACUCCUACGGGAGGCAGCAGUGGGGAAUAUUGGACAAUGGGGGCAACCCUGAUCCAGCCAUGCCGCGUGUGUGAAGAAGGCCUUUUGGUUGUAAAGCACUUUAAGCAGUGAAGAAGACUCCGUGGUUAAUACCCACGGACGAUGACAUUAGCUGCAGAAUAAGCACCGGCUAACUCUGUGCCAGCAGCCGCGGUAAUACAGAGGGUGCAAGCGUUAAUCGGAAUUACUGGGCGUAAAGGGAGCGUAGGUGGCUCGAUAAGUCAGAUGUGAAAUCCCCGGGCUCAACCUGGGAACUGCAUCUGAUACUGUUGAGCUAGAGUAUGUGAGAGGAAGGUAGAAUUCCAGGUGUAG
rnacentral:rRNA from 1 species